rnacentral:rRNA from 1 species
UUCGUGGAUCGAUGAAGAACGCAGCCAGCUGCGAUAAAUAGUGCGAAUUGCAGACACAUUGAGCACUAAGAAUUCG